GCCUUCUUAGCUCAGUUGGCAGAGCGUCCGCCUAGUAAGCGGAAGGUCAGCAGUUCAAAUCUGCUAGGAGGCA
rfam:Catenaria anguillulae PL171 BCR44scaffold_259, whole genome shotgun sequence.